AUACUUACCUGGACGGGGUCGACGGCCGAUCAAAAAGGGCUGUGGCCUAGAUCAAUGGCUCACAUUGCACUUGGUGAGCGCGUUGGUUUACCAUCUCCCCAAGUGGGAGAGUGGACGUCAUAAUUUGUGAUAGAGGGGGUACGCGUUCGCGCGGCCCCUG
rnacentral:snRNA from 1 species